rnacentral:rRNA from 1 species
UGGGGAAUCUUCCGCAAUGGGCGAAAGCCUGACGGAGCAACGCCGCGUGAGUGAAGACGGCCUUCGGGUUGUAAAGCUCUGUUAUACGGGACGAAUAAUCUUGUGGUUAAUACCCAUAAGAAGUGACGGUACCGUAAGAGAAAGCCACGGCUAACUACGUGCCAGCAGCCGCGGUAAUACGUAGGUGGCAAGCGUUGUCCGGAAUUAUUGGGCGUAAAGCGCGCGCAGGCGGAUUGGUCAGUCUGUCUUAAAAGUUCGGGGCUUAACCCCGUGAUGGGAUGGAAACUGCUGAUCUAGAGUAUCGGAGAGGAAAGUGGAAUUCCUAGUGUAGCGGUGAAAUGCGUAGAUAUUAGGAAGAACACCAGUGGCGAAGGCGACUUUCUGGACGAAAACUGACGCUGAGGCGCGAAAGCCAGGGGAGCGAACGGGAUUAGAUACCCCGGUAGUCCUGGCCGUAAACGAUGGGUACUAGGUGUAGGAGGUAUCGACCCCUUCUGUGCCGGAGUUAACGCAAUAAGUACCCCGCCUGGGGAGUACGACCGCAAGGUUG